rfam:Planctomycetes bacterium RBG_16_64_12 RBG_16_scaffold_55667, whole genome shotgun sequence.
GCCCCCUUCGUCUAGUGGCCCAGGACAUCGGAUUCUCAGUCCGAGAACAGCGGUUCGACUCCGCUAGGGGGUA